rnacentral:rRNA from 1 species
AGUGAACGCUGGCGGUAGGCCUAACACAUGCAAGUCGAACGGCAGCACAGUAAGAGCUUGCUCUUACGGGUGGCGAGUGGCGGACGGGUGAGGAAUACAUCGGAAUCUACUUUUUCGUGGGGGAUAACGUAGGGAAACUUACGCUAAUACCGCAUACGACCUACGGGUGAAAGCAGGGGAUCUUCGGACCUUGCGCGAUUGAAUGAGCCGAUGUCGGAUUAGCUAGUUGGCGGGGUAAAGGCCCACCAAGGCGACGAUCCGUAGCUGGUCUGAGAGGAUGAUCAGCCACACUGGAACUGGGACACGGUCCAGACUCCUACGGGAGGCAGCAGUGGGGAAUAUUGGACAAUGGGCGCAAGCCUGAUCCAGCCAUACCGCGUGGGUGAAGAAGGCCUUCGGGUUGUAAAGCCCUUUUGUUGGGAAAGAAAAGCAGCAGGUUAAUACCCCACUGUUCUGACGGUACCCAAAGAAUAAGCACCGGCUAACUUCGUG